UGGGGAAUUUUGGACAACGGGGGAAACCCUGAUCCAGCCAUCCCGCGUGUGCGAUGAAGGCCUUCGGGUUGUAAAGCACUUUUGGCAGGAAAGAAACGUCGCGGGUUAAUACCCCGCGAAACUGACGGUACCUGCAGAAUAAGCACCGGCUAACUACGUGCCAGCAGCCGCGGUAAUACGUAGGGUGCAAGCGUUAAUCGGAAUUACUGGGCGUAAAGCGUGCGCAGGCGGUUCGGAAAGAAAGAUGUGAAAUCCCAGAGCUUAACUUUGGAACUGCAUUUUUAACUACCGGGCUAGAGUGUGUCAGAGGGAGGUGGAAUUCCGCGUGUAGCAGUGAAAUGCGUAGAUAUGCGGAGGAACACCGAUGGCGAAGGCAGCCUCCUGGGAUAACACUGACGCUCAUGCACGAAAGCGUGGGGAGCAAACAGGAUUAGAUACCCUGGUAGUCCACGCCCCUAAACGAUGUCAACUAGCUGUUGGGGCCUUCGGGCCUUGGUAGCGCAGCUAACGCGU
rnacentral:rRNA from 1 species